rnacentral:rRNA from 1 species
GACGAACGCUGGCGGCGUGCUUAACACAUGCAAGUCGAACGGAAAGGCCCUGCUUUUGUGGGGUGCUCGAGUGGCGAACGGGUGAGUAACACGUGAGUAACCUGCCCUUGACUUUGGGAUAACUUCAGGAAACUGGGGCUAAUACCGGAUAGGAGCUCCUGCUGCAUGGUGGGGGUUGGAAAGUUUCGGCGGUUGGGGAUGGACUCGCGGCUUAUCAGCUUGUUGGUGGGGUAGUGGCUUACCAAGGCUUUGACGGGUAGCCGGCCUGAGAGGGUGACCGGCCACAUUGGGACUGAGAUACGGCCCAGACUCCGACGGGAGGCAGCAGUGGGGAAGAUUGCACAAUGGGCGGAAGCCUGAUGCAGCAACGCCGCGUGCGGGAUGACGGCCUUCGGGUUGUAAACCGCUUUCGCCUGUGACGAAGCGUGAGUGACGGUAAUGGGUAAAGAAGCACCGGCUAACUACGUG